UACAGAGGGUGCGAGCGUUGUUCGGAAUUAUUGGGCGUAAAGCGCUUGUAGGCGGCUCGGUAAGUCGCGUGUGAAAGCUUCCGGCUCAACCGGAAGAGUGCGCGCGAAACUGACGAGCUUGAGUGCCGGAGAGGGUCGCGGAAUUCCCGGUGUAGAGGUGAAAUUCGUAGAUAUCGGGAGGAACACCAGAGGCGAAGGCGGCGACCUGGAAGGUAACUGACACUGAGCAGCGAAAGCGUGGGUAGCAAACAGG
rnacentral:rRNA from 1 species